UUGUUACUUUGGCAGAUUAGUGUAUUUGAUUUAGAAUCAUUUUAAGUAUUUAUUACAGGUAAUAU
rnacentral:tRNA from 1 species